rnacentral:rRNA from 1 species
AGCAGCCGCGGUAAUUCCAGCUCCAAUAGCGUAUAUUAAAGUUGUUGCAGUUAAAAAGCUCGUAGUUGAAUUUCGGAAUCAAUAUGUUGGUCGUGCCUUGGUACGUACUGGCGUCAUUGGUUUCUACCUUCUGAAGAACCUCGAUGUCAUUAAUUUGGUGUCUUGGGGAAUCAGGACUGUUACUUUGAAAAAAUUAGAGUGUUUAAAGCAGGCUCACGCUUGAAUACAUUAGCAUGGAAUAAUGAAAUAGGACGUUUGAUUCUAUUUUGUUGGUUUCUAGGAUCGACGUAAUGAUUAAUAGGGAUAGUUGGGGGCAUUAGUAUUCAAUUGUCAGAGGUGAAAUUCUUGGAUUUAUUGAAGACUAACUACUGCGAAAGCAUUUGCCAAGGAUGUUUUCAUUAAUCAAGAACGAAAGUUAGGGGAUCGAAGACGAUCAGAUACCGUCGUAGUCUUAACCAUAAACUAUGCCGACUAGGGAUCGGAUGAUGUUAAUUUUUUAAUGACUCAUUCGGCGCCUUACG